rnacentral:misc_RNA from 1 species
UUGCGCCCAUUGGUAUUCCGAUGGGCAUGCCUGUUCGAGCGUCAUUAUCUUCCCUCAAACCUCGGGUUUGGUGUUGGGCCUCGUCGGUUCCUCCGUGACCAACUGGCCUCAAAGACAAUGGCGGCGUCCGUGGGACCCUCGGUGCAACGAGCUUCUAAGGAGCACGCGUCGAGUUUCAAGGACCUUCCGGGCCGGUCUCUCCUCAUGUUAUCACAAGGUUGACCUCGGAUCAGGUAGGGAUACCCGCUGAACUUAAGC